rnacentral:lncRNA from 1 species
UGCCCCCACCAAAACUCAACUCCAAUCCAAUCACCAUUUCAAGUGUAUAACCUAUUUAAUGUGGAGACUGUUCAGAGUACAAUCGCUGUACAGAUUGGGGAAAGAUAAUUACCGUACUUAAUUGAACCUAACAGAGUUCUCUAACCAAAAAGUCCUUAAUGGCAGAGUCAAGGAUUCACUACAAGCCAGCCAGAUCUUCACUUUCCCCUGCUCCAUAACCCAGCCCCUGGGCUCUCAGGUGAUGCGGCUCCUCCCAGGUGUCAGGUGUCUGGUGCCUUCCCUAGUUUCCUGUUCACAGAGAUCUCCAGCUCUUGUGAACUGCAAAUUGAUGGGUUUUGGUCCACGUUCCAGCUCACAACCCUCCAAAAAUUUCCUUUUUUUUUUUUUUUUUAACCAUCUCUGACCUUCUGACCCUUAGGUCUGAUAUCAGUGGUUUGUUGGUAUUUAUAAGAUCAUUUCUAGUUGGAAGGUCUUUUCACCUUAAGAUCUUUUCUCACCACAAAACAAACAAACAAACAAAAAAACAGGUAACUAACUAUAUAAGUUGAUGGAUGUAUUACCUAACUUGAUUGUGGUAAUCAUUCACAACAUAUACCUGCAUCAAAUCAUCACAUUGUAAACCUUAAAUAUAUACAAUUUUAUUUGUCAAUUAUGCCUCAGUAAAGCCGGGGUGGCCUGUGCAGAAAUAAAGGUUCCAUUUCCAAAAAAAGAAAAACAAAGAAAGGUGGGUUUUGGAGUCAGACAAACCUAGGAUAUAAUUCCCAGGAUUGGUCCAAAUAUUGAGCCUGGAAUUAGACAUCCAGGCUUUUUCAGUGUUGCCACAUCUACGGGCUAAAAUCA